rnacentral:misc_RNA from 1 species
AGGAGGGAGAGACUGGCGAAAGGGACGGACGCGAUUCUUCGGGCAGUUUUCGGGGAUCGAUAAGAGGAAGACGGUAUUGAAUCUUGGAUGAGACGGACGACGACAAAUUGAAGGAUCAAAGCGACCGAGGGAACCACGCGACGCGGUUUUAUUGUUCCACCAUCCACGUGUCUGGGUCUGGUACGUAUGAUAAGGGAUGCGGGGUCUGAGGGUGGCGCGGCAUCACGGCCUCGGCAAUGGCUCGGGAAGUCAGUCAGUUAUGCCUCGAGCGUGAUGCUCGUACCAAAUCAAGCCAGCUCGAGUUAGGACUAGCCGGCCGUACAUCCAGAUAUCUCUGCGGAACCUCUCCUUUCUGAACGUCUAGCCUGUGGACGUGAACGACCUGUAUGGCAAGUAUCUUUGCGAAUCGCUUCAGUGUAUGCCUGGCACGAUGCUUUCGACGUAAGUGGAAAUAUUUCAGGGGUUGAAGCUUGCCGCCAUUUUCCGCAAG